UCUAGGUGCAGUGACGUGUGCCUGUAGUCCCAGCUACUCAGGAGGCUGAGGCUGGAGGAUCGCUUGAGUCCAGGAGUUCUGGGCUGUAGUGCGCUGUGUGGAUCGGGUGUCCACACUGAGUUCAGCAUCAAUGUGGUGACCUCCUGGGAGCGGGGACCGCCAGGUUGCCUAAGGAGGGGUAAACCGGCCAAGGUAGGAAACAGAGCAGGUCAAAACUCCCGUGCUGAUCAGUAGUGGGAUCAUGCCUGUGAAUAGCCACUGCCCUCCAGCCUGGGCAACAUAGAGAGACCUGGUCUCU
rnacentral:SRP_RNA from 1 species